rnacentral:rRNA from 1 species
CUACCUUCGGAUGGGGAAUAACAACCGGAAACGGUUGCUAAUACCGCAUAAUGCAGCGGCACCUAAUGGUGACAGUUGUUAAAGCGGGGGAUCGCAAGACCUCGCGUCUGGAGAGGAGCCUGCGGCGGAUUAGCUUGUUGGUGAGGUAAUGGCUCACCAAGGCGAUGAUCCGUAGCCGGCCUGAGAGGGCGGUCGGCCACACUGACACUGACAUACGGGUCAG